rnacentral:rRNA from 1 species
UACAGAGGUGGCAAGCGUUCUUCGGAAUUACUGGGCGUAAAGGGCGCGUAGGCGGCCAUCUAAGUCAGACGUGAAAUCCCCCGGCUUAACCUGGGAACUGCGUCUGAUACUGGACGGCUUGAGUAUGGGAGAGGGAUGUAGAAUUCCAGGUGUAGCGGUGAAAUGCGUUGAUAUCUGGAGGAAUACCGGUGGCGAAGGCGGCAUCCUGGACCAUUACUGACGCUGAGGCGCGAAAGCUAGGGGAGCAAACGGG